rnacentral:rRNA from 1 species
GCAAGUCGAACGGAGUAUUGCGCUGAAACGAGAGUAGCUUGCUACAGGAAUUUCUUGUAAUACUUAGUGGCGGACGGGUGAGUAACGCGUGAGGAACCUGCCUUACAGAGGGGGACAACAGUUGGAAACGACUGCUAAUACCGCAUAACAUAUUGAGAGGACAUCCUCUUAAUAUCAAAGGAGCAAUCCGCUGUAAGAUGGCCUCGCGUCUGAUUAGAUAGUUGGUGAGGUAACGGCCCACCAAGUCGACGAUCAGUAGCCGGACUGAGAGGUUGAACGGCCACAUUGGGACUGAGACACGGCCCAGACUCCUACGGGAGGCAGCAGUGGGGGAUAUUGCACAAUGGAGGAAACUCUGAUGCAGCAACGCCGCGUGAGGGAAGAAGGUUUUCGGAUUGUAAACCUCUGUUUUUAGCGAAGAAAGAAAUGACGGUAGCUAAAGAGGAAGCCACGGCUAACUACGUGCCAGCAGCCGCGGUAAUACGUAGGUGGCAAGCGUUGUCCGGAUUUACUG